rnacentral:rRNA from 1 species
GAGUUUGAUCUUGGCUCAGAUUGAACGCUGGCGGCAGGCUUAACACAUGCAAGUCGAGCGGAGAUGAGGUGCUUGCACCUUAUCUUAGCGGCGGACGGGUGAGUAAUGCUUAGGAAUCUGCCUAUUAGUGGGGGCAACAUUCCGAAAGGGAUGCUAAUACCGCAUACGUCCUACGGGAGAAAGCAGGGGAUCUUCGGACCUUGCGCUAAUAGAUGAGCCUAAGUCGGAUUAGCUAGUUGGUGGGUAAAGGCCUACCAAGGCGACGAUCUGUAGCGGGUCUGAGAGGAUGAUCCGCCACACUGGGACUGAGACACGGCCCAGACUCCUACGGGAGGCAGCAGUGGGGAAUAUUGGAUAAUGGGGGGGAACCCUGAUCCAGCCAUGCCGCGUGUGUGAAGAAGGCCUUAUGGUUGUAAAGCACUUUAAGCGUGGAGGAGGCUACUGAGACUAAUACUCUUGGAUAGUGGACGUUACUCGCAGAAUAAGCACCGGCUAACUCUGUGCCAC